UUAACAGUACUGAUUCCCUUAAGUAAACAUUACAUAUCAUCUUUCGUUCUUUUGAAAUAAGUUAAACACUCAUCCAAACUAUGCAAAAACUGCCUUGAAAUGUUUCUAAUGCAAUUCUAACGUUUACUUAUGGUAGACGCAUACCUUUUAAGGAUUUGAACAGUUUAAAUUCAGGAACGAAAUUCAGUACGCGCUACGCCUAUGUAGAUAGUGUUCACAAGGAUAUUUAUGAAUAAACUGGCAUUUUGAAUGCUUUAUAAAGGUUUUGAAACUCAAACUAGUUAAAAUUCGUUUCUGUACAUACUUCUGUUUUCAAGGUAUAUGACGCUUUGGCCGAGAGUUGCCUUGUAAAAUUACACAUAAAAUUUACCGUAAAAUAUGUAGUUUUUAGAGAUAUAUAUGUAUUCUAAUUUUUGUUUUUUCAAAUCGAAUCAAAUUGUUUUCUUUUUACAAGAAUAGUUCUUGUUUAUCUGUGAUACGUUUUAUCUAAUACAUGAGUUUUUUGCGAUACACUUGAGGAACGUAAACAUAAAGCUUUGUUAGUAUACAUGUACAAUAGUUCCUGGUAUUAAUGGCAGUAUAUCUGUACAAUAGUUCCUGGUAUUGAUGGCAGUAUAUCUGUACUAAAGUUCCUGGUAUUGAUGGCAGUAUAUCUGUACAAUAGUUCCUGGUAUUGAUGGCAGUAUAUCUGUUCUAUAUUUCCUGGUAUUGAUGGCAGUAUAUCUGUACUAUAGUUCCUGGUAUUGAUGGCAGUAUAUCUGUACUAUAGUUCUUGGUAUUGAUGGCAGUAUAUCUGUACUAUAGUUCCUGGUAUUGAUGGCAGUAUAUCUUUAAUAUAGUUCCAGGCAUUGAUAGCAGUAUAUAUGUACUAUAGUUCCUGGUAUUGAUGGCAGUAUAGGUUUCCUCACUCAUGACUUAUUGGAUAAACCUGCUAGGAGUUGGUUAACAUUAGUGGGUAAUACCCUGGAUCUGACUUAAUUGGUCAAUCUGUGAUUUAUGAUGACGUUACAAUGCUUUUCGACGUCUUUUUCCAUUGUGACGUCAUGUUCUAUGACAAUUGAUUCCCCAAUCCGAAACAAACAUGAUGUAUUUCCCAAGGGAAAAAAUGUGAGUUUUCAGAUAAAAUACGAAUGUGACGGGAGAAACAGGUCCCAAAAUUCGUGAUAAUUAUUUAUCCCGUUUAUUUAACGCUCGUUUAACCUCGUGUCUUUAUACAGUUUAAACUAACUCGAGUUAGAAGAACAUGAUAUCCAUCCAUCACUCGUUUGGGAACCUCUCUCUGUCCUAUCGUUGAUUGAAGUAUAUAAUUAUGUUCUACCAUUCAUGGAGGUAUAUAUAUACUCUAUCGUUGAUGGAUGUAUGUAUGAACUAUCAUUGAUUGAAGUAUAUAUAUACUCUAUCGUUGAUGGAGGUAUAUAUGUACUAUCAUUGAUGGAGGUAUAUAUGGUCUAUCAUUGAUGGAGGUAUAUAUGUACUAUCAUUGAUGGAGGUAUAUAUGUACUAUCAUUAAUGGAGGUAUAUGUGUACUAUCAUUGAUGGAAGUAUAUAUGUACUAUCAUUGAUGGAGGUAUAUUUGGUCUAUCAUUGAUGGAGGUUUAUAUGUACUAUCAUUGAUGGAGGUAUAUAUGUACUAUCAUUGAUGGAGGUAUAUAUGUGCUAUAAUUGAUGGAAGUAUAUAUGUACUAUCAUUGAUGGAGGUAUAUAUGUACUAAAAUUGAUGUAGGUAUAUAUGUACUAUCAUUGAUGGAAGUACAUCUGUACUAUCAUUGAUGGAGGUAUAUGUGUACUAUCAUUGAUGGAAAUUUAUAUGUACUAUCAUUGACAGAGUUAUAUGUACUAUCGUUGAUGGAGGUAUAUGUGUACUAUCAUUGAUGGAGGUAUAUAUGGUCUAUCAUUGAUGGAAGUAUAUAUGGUCUAUCAUUGAUGGAAGUAUAUAUGUACUAUCGUUGAUGGAGGUAUAUAUGUUCUAUCGUUGAUGGAGGUAUAUAUGGUCUAUCAGUGAUGGAAGUAUAUAUGUACUAUCGUUGAUGGAGGUAUAUAUGUACUAUCGUUGAUGGAAGUAUAUAUGUACUAUCAUUGAUGGAGGUAUAUAUGUACUAUCAUUGAUGGAGGUAUAUAUGUGCUAUCGUUGAUGGAGGUAUAUAUGGUCUAUCAUUGAUGGAAGUAUAUAUAUACUCUAUCGUUGAUGGAGGUAUAUAUGUACUAUCAUUGAUGGAGGUAUAUAUGUACUAUCGUUGAUGGAGGUAUAUAUGUUCUAUCGUUGAUGGAGGUAUAUAUGUUCUAUAAUUGAUGGAGGUAUAUAUUUACUAUCGUGAAUGGAAGUUUACUUUUAAUAUCAUUGAUGAAGUAGAUAUGUUGAUGAUGUACUGUGAUAUUGAGGGAAAUAUACAUGUACUAUUCUUGAUUCAUGUGUAAAUGUAAUUUCGUUGAUAGAUUAUGCAUGUAUGAUCGUUAAUGAAGUAUACAAGCACUAUCGGUAAUGAAGUAUUAAUUUGCUGUCGUCGCUGGCACUAACUCUAACAUACAUGUUGAUAGCAUUGACGGAGGAAUUACGAUUAUACGCAUCAAGAAAUGUUGUCUAAGAUAUUUCUGAUGUGGACACUUAAUCAACGUGACAUUAAUGACAUAUGAAAAAGAUAGUUAUAUUAAAAUGAAAAAAAACAUGUAUUUUUUAAGAAAUAUUUGUUACUGUUGAAGAGAUGUUCAUAUGAAAUCUAUGAUGCACUGGCCUGAUCUCAAAAUGCCUCUUACGCAAUUAAUGAAUGACAGAAUCUUGCAAUAAAAGUUUUGAUUCAUCAAAUGCUACAAAGACUAGAUACUAGGUUAAAAUUGGAUAAAACUAUUGAAUGAUUCAAAUGCAACAUUAAAAAAGUAAUAUAUUAAAUAAUGAUAACAUUUUUGCUUCAUUAAUUUUGUAAAAACAGGGCACAAUUUUCUAUUUCUAGAUGUAAGACUAUGAAUCAAUGACAAUUGCUUGUUCUCGACAAAGACGUUGUUUGCAGAGUCAGUGGCGUAAGAGAUCAAGUGCGGAGAUGGAUGAACAUAACUGCGUUCUACCAAUACAAUAGUAUAUAAGGUGCGGAACUGCGAUCAGCGUAUGCUUUUAUUUUGUGUUUACUUUUUAUUCUGUAUAUUGUUUAGCUAUUACAUGACGUGCGAUACUAAUGGGAGAGUUUCUUUCGAUAGAACGCAAACUAUAAUGUCAUUUUUAUUUUUCACGAUAACCAUUUUGUG
rnacentral:lncRNA from 1 species